GUGGUGAUGCUUGUUUGGAAUGAACACAUGAUUAAGUUUGGUUUUUUUUUUGGUCGAAGAGAUGAAUAUGGCCAUCUACGUUAAUCAAUUGUACAGAUCAAAAUGUCUUUUCUUUUUUCAUGAAUUUGAUAACAAUUUCUUUUUUCUCAAUACAUAUAAGCAAUAAUAAAUCAUAAUGUACUAAAUAAAAUUUUUACGUUGUAGGAAAGACAUAACGCAUAAGCCUAAGGAGACAGAUGCAAAAAAUUAUCAAUUCCAAUUAUUAUCGGCAACGUACAGCACUGAAAUCACUAUAGUAUAAGCAAAUCAGAGACUCUAAAUUGUUGCCUAUUAUUUCAAUCAAAACAGAAAUGAAUGAAGAAGCCUCAGAUUCAAGAAUUAUUGUAUCGAUCAAAGAAUAAUCUCUCAGAUGGUACGGACAAUAUUCAUACAUCACAGGCAAAUAAUUAAUAAUGAUAUGAUAAAAAUAUAGGUCGUUACCAGGCCCUCAAAUCAAGUCAAAGAUCAAAGAGAGCAGACAUGCGGACCUUAAGAAAUUCAAUUUUCGUGCACACAGCAAUGCUUCCUUCAUUGUUUUCAUCCAGAGCAUCGGCUUAUUGUGCACGAA
rnacentral:lncRNA from 1 species